GCUGGCGGCGUGCCUNAUACAUGCAAGUCGAGCGAACGGACGAGAAGCUUGCUUCUCUGAUNUUAGCGGCGGACGGGUGAGUAACACGUGGAUAACCUACCUAUAAGACUGGGAUAACUUCGGGAAACCGGAGCUAAUACCGGAUAAUAUUUUGANNCGCAUGGUUCAAAAGUGAAAGANGGUCUUGCUGUCACUUAUAGAUGGAUCCGCGCUGCAUUAGCUAGUUGGUAAGGUAACGGCUUACCAAGGCAACGAUGCAUAGCCGACCUGAGAGGGUGAUCGGCCACACUGGAACUGAGACACGGUCCAGACUCCUACGGGAGGCAGCAGUAGGGAAUCUUCCGCAAUGGGCGAAAGCCUGACGGAGCAACGCCGCGUGAGUGAUGAAGGUCUUCGGAUCGUAAAACUCUGUUAUUAGGGAAGAACAUAUGUGUAAGUAACUGUGCACAUCUGACGG
rnacentral:rRNA from 2 species